rnacentral:rRNA from 1 species
GACGAACGCUGGCGGCGUGCUUAAUACAUGCAAGUCGAACGGAAAGGCCCUGCUCUUGUGGGGUGCUUGUGUGGCGAACGGGUGUGUAUCACGUGUGUAACCCGUCCCUGUCUUUGGGAUAUCUCUUGGAAACUGGGGCUAAUACCCGAUAGGAGCUCCUACUGCACGGUGGGGGUUGGUAAGUUUCGGCGGUUGGGGAUCGUCUCGCUGCUUAUCAGCUUGUUGGUGUGGUAGUGGCUUACCAAGCCUUCGACGGCUAGCCGACCUGGGCGGGUGACCGGCGACAAUGGGACUGAGAGACGGCCCAGACUCGAACGGUAGGCAGCAGUGGAGAAUAUUACACAAUGGGCGGAAGCCAGAGACAGCAGCGCCGCGAGCGGGAUAACGUCCUACGGGUGAUAAACCGCUUUCGCAUGAGACGAAGCGUGAGUGACGGUAAUGGAUAAAGAAGCACCGGCUAACUACGUG